rnacentral:tRNA from 1 species
AAACUUAGGUUAAUACAAAACCAUGGACCUUCAAAGCCCAUAAUAAGAACUCUAAUAUUCUUAGUUUUUG